rnacentral:SRP_RNA from 2 species
GCCGAGCUCGGUUGCACGGGCUUGUAACCGAAGUGGAGAUAUUAAGGUGGUGUGAAUGUUUAGUGCGGACUCUGAGCUUGGGUUUGCCUGUUGCAAGUUGGUAAUGGCCUGUGCGGUCCAAGCGAAAGCUCGGGCUUCACUAGACCUGAAGUGGCAGCAACGGCAUGAGGCUGGCUUCACAGAGCAGUGAUCACUGCCCGCUUCCGACGGUGGAAGGAUAACAGGCCGCUACAUCACGGGCCCGACCUGGACCUCGAGGAGCCGGCGGUGAGGAUCG